ACUCCUACGGGAGGCAGCAGUGGGGAAUAUUGCACAAUGGGGAAACCCUGAUGCAGCCAUGCCGCGUGUGUGAAGAAGGCCUUCGGUUGUAAAGCACUUUCAGUAGGGAGGAAGGUAGUGUAGUUAACACCUGCAUUAUUUGACGUUACCUACAGAAGAAGCACCGGCUAACUCCGUGCCAGCAGCCGCGGUAAUACGGAGGGGUGCGAGCGUUAAUCGGAAUUACUGGGCGUAAAGCGCAUGCAGGCGGCCUGUUAAGUCAGAUGUGAAAGCCCGGGGGCUUAACCUCGGAAUUGCAUUUGAAACUGGCAGGCUAGAGUCUUGUAGAGGGGGUAGAAUUUCAGGUGUAGCGGUGAAAUGCGUAGAGAUCUGAAGGAAUACCAGUGGCGAAGGCGGCCCCUGGACAAAGACUGACGCUCAGAUGCGAAAGCGUGGGGAGCAAACAGGAUUAGAUACCCUGGUAGCACAGAG
rnacentral:rRNA from 1 species